AUGCUAGAGCCUGCAGAAUGUGGCUUCAUCC
rnacentral:piRNA from 1 species